UCAGUAGUUAAAAUGGAUGAAUAGUUAGGAAAAGUAGUUUUCAUUAGAGAUGUAGCAGUUGGUAUCUUGUGGUAGGAUAAGGAGGAUGAGAGAGAGGAAGAAAUCGCCAUUACUGUGAUAGUGUGAGCCGGGGUAAGCUUGGUGCUACCUCUUUUCUUUUGUUGUUAUGUUCUUUGAAAUAAGAGUAUUGAGAGUUUCUGAAUAUUGUGAAGUGAAUCAUGGAAUGAAAGUGUGAAUGGAAUUAUAUGUUAUUGAAUGAGAAGAAGAGAGAUUGAAUGCUGAAAUCUGAAUGUAGUUCAGUAGAA
rnacentral:lncRNA from 1 species